GGAACACGGAGGAAGAAAUUAGAGUAAGAAUUUCAGGAGAAUUGGAGAGGAAGGCAAAGAUAAUUCAUUACAGUAGCAAAAAAAUGCAGGAUCAAUCGUGGACAACUUUUCUUUGUACAAUGGGCCAACUAGGAAAGAGAAGAACCAUAACUAGCUAGCAAUAAUUACGCAACAGUUAUAAUAGCAGCCUACACUAUCCCUUCAUAACAAAAUACAUAUUCCCUGACACCUGUCCCUCCUUCUGCUAUAAUUGUCUCUUGCUUAGCUUCAGAAAGGCAUCAUAUCUGCCUCCACUUCUACGAAACUGUUUGCUCACAAAUUC
rnacentral:misc_RNA from 1 species